GGUAGAAGAAGCAAGAGCUGUUUCUGAAAAGAUACUGCUACUCCUUGGAUCACUGGUACUCUGCAAAUAACUCUCAGGAGAGCCCAUCAUCGAGCCCAGCACCUUCGAGAUUUGGCCAUUGGCAAAUUCUGGAAAGAUGUGCAGGAUGUACGCCAGGUGUAGGAACGUCGGUCAGUGCGGAGCGGAAGCCAGGAAUGCUCAGAGGGCCGACAGCCAGGGAGUUAGCCCUGUGCACACCGC